rnacentral:rRNA from 1 species
CGUUCAGGGGUAAACCUGCGAAACUCGAAUGAACGAACGGAGAGAUUCAUCGUCAUUCCGCSRGRSCUMCGGCGGCGCUCUCGAUGCGCGCGCGUCCGCUUNNNCGUCGCACGAUCGCCGUCCGCACGCGCCGUCGGACGGCGUGCACUUCUCUCUUAGUAAGACAUCGCGACCCGUUCGGUGUCGGCCUAAGCGCCGCGCGGGAGCCCGACGGCACACGCUGCCGCUCGGACCGCCGCGGUCGCCGGCCGGCCGCCGGACGGUAGAUAUCGUGAAACGCGCACGCGCUCAGCGCGUCCGGCCCGACGCAAGGCGUUCGCCGUAUUCGAAGUCCUGCCCCGGUGCGGUCUUCGUUGCGGCGAGCCUGUCGCUCGCUGCCGUGCAGUCUCGGACCGUGCGCGUCUCGGUCGGCGAUGAUUUUGUUUCGGGCACUCGCAGGACCCGUCUUGAAACACGGACCAAGGAGUCUAGCAUGUGUGCGAGUCAUUGAGAUUCGUAAAACUGAAAGGCGCAACGAAAGUGAAGGCGCGCGCUAGCCGCGCGCUCGGGGAGGAUGGAGGUCGAUCUCGCGUCGGCCCCCCGCACUCCCGAGGCGUCUCGUUCGCAAUCUGUCGAUGCAGGCGCGCUCAGAGCACAGAUGCUGGGACCCGAAAGAUGGUGAACUAUGCCUGGUCAGGUCGAAGUCAGGGGAAACCCUGAUGGAGGACCGUAGCGAUUCUGACGUGCAAAUCGAUCGUCGGAACUGGGUAUAGGGGCGAAAGACUAAUCGAACCAUC